AUGAACGCUGGCGGCGUGCCUAAUACCUGCAAGUCGAGCGAACAGACGAGGAGCUUGCUCCUCUGACGUUAGCGGCGGACGGGUGAGUAACACGUGGAUAACCUACCUAUAAGACUGGGAUAACUUCGGGAAACCCGAGCUAAUACCGGAUAAUAUAUUGAACCGCAUGGUUCAAUAGUGAAAGACGGUUUUGCUGUCACUUAUAGAUGGAUCCGCGCCGCAUUAGCUAGUUGGUAAGGUAACGGCUUACCAAGGCAACGAUGCGUAGCCGACCUGAGAGGGUGAUCGGCCACACUGGAACUGAAACACGGUCCAGACUCCUACGGGAGGCAGCAGUAGGGAAUCUUCCGCAAUGGGCGAAAGCCUGACGGAGCAACGCCGCGUGAGUGAUGAAGGUCUUCGGAUCGUAAAACUCUGUUAUUAGGGAAGAACAAAUGUGUAAGUAACUAUGCACGUCUUGACGGUACCUAAUCAGAAAGCCACGGCUAACUACGUG
rnacentral:rRNA from 1 species